UUCUGAUUGUGUAGAAGAGUGGUUUAACAUUUUUUUGUUUUCAGUUUAAAUCGAGAAUAGAUCGAAAAGUUUGAGUAUUCGGCCAGCGACGAGUUUGGUCCAUUGAUUCAGUUUAGACGGGUGUGAGUUUAAACUGGAGCUUAGGAGGAUGUGUAGCAUUAUUCUUUGGAAAUGAGCUCCUUCGGUUUCUGUUGAAGCGUAGGAUUAGUUUUUACAUUGCAAGACUGUGGUGGGUUGGAUCUUAACUUCUGUUCUUGAGUGGUGUGAGUGAGAAGAAGGUACAAUUAUUUAAUGGGAUUAGAAUCGCCAUUGAACCGUCACACUAUGGUUUGAUUUCCAUAAUUAAUGAUAGAAAUUUGUUUUUGA